AUAUAUAUAUAUAUCAAUAUAUAUCUAUAUAUAUAUAUAUAUAUAUAUACGACAAAAUGUGGUUUUAUGAAAUAACUUUUACUAAGCAAUAAGCCAUAAUGUAGAAAAAUACAUUUUACCUUUUAAAGACUCAAAAAACAAGGAACAAAACUUUAGUAGUAGUGCAUAAUUAUUUAGUAGUAGCUACAACAGGGGAUCCUAUCUUUACAAGAAUUUGCAUAAACAUAACACUUUUUUGUCACAAUAUUUGAAAUAAAUGAGUCAAGGGAUGACAGUACUAAAAUGGUGAAAGAGAGGGGUGAAAGAGGCAAAACCCCACAAAAGACAGCAAAAGAAAGAAAUCUAAGUUAGAGCUGAAGAAAUAUUUUGGUAGAUUCACAGGAUGAGAAGCAUGGACAGCACUGGAGAGAAACACAUUAUACUUUGUAUCACGUUCCAAUACCAAGCUGCCCAUUGUCAGUGAGGUAAUGGACCCAUUCAAAAAGUAGUUUGUUCAUUACUUCCCAACUCUGUUGACAGGUCCACAACCGUGUACUUCAUUUUGGGCAGUUCCUUUAGACUGCGCUGUACCUAUUUCCAGCUUUCAUAUUAGCCUUUCAUUACAGAGGAGUUGUCCAAACCAACCAGUCACAUCUGAGGUUACACUGGUUUAUUUGCUAAUCGACAACACCACAUUAUCUCAUUUGCUUCAACUUUAUAGGUUACAGCUCGCUGUCACUGAACCAUCAGGUACAUGUUGCCAGGAUUUCUUUGCUAUGUGGCCCAAUCCAAUCAGUAAGAAUAUUGACAAUUUCAUUGGGGUUUGGAACUCCAUUAAAAAAAAAAGGGUUUGCUUUAU